GCCUCAUUUGCACUAUACAUUUAAAGCAGUAUCUUACCACUUUAAACAGUCAUGGCUUCCCCCAAAGAAUCCUGGGAAAUGUAGUUAGGAGUGCUGAGAGUUGUUAGGAGACCUCAAUUCCCUUCACAGAACUUUGAUUCUCAGAUUUCCCUGGUCUGAAUGUACUGUUAGGAUUACAUUCCUCCACACCAUUUCUCAUGAAUUAGCUUGUCCUAUGUCCCUCUGGAGCGGUUUCCAUACAACAGCUAUGCAAACUUCCUGUAUUGCUAGACUUGCUCUCCUUUUUUAUCCCUUUUGUUUUGCUCCUUUUUCUUACCAUUUGAUGUCAUAGAAGGACCUCAGAAUCUCCUGUCUCCGAGCAAUUUUCUGUCAGAAGUUGGAUUUGUAGUAUUUCGAAGUUUGUCUGGCAGGGCAAAAGCCCAGAAUUAAGUUUAAGAUACUAACCGAUGCAAAACAAAGAGGGGGCUUUGCCCUGCCGGACUUAAAGUUGUACUAUGAAGCCGCAGCGUUCUGCUGGCUAAAAGACUGGCUACUUCUUGAAGACACUGAUGUGUUAGAUUUGGAGGGGUUUAACAAUGUUUUUGGAUGGCAUGCAUAUUUAUGGUAUGACAAAGUUAAAGCAAAUAAGGCCUUUAAGAACCAUAUUGUUAGAAAAUCACUGUUUAAUGUCUGGACAAAAUAUAAAGACUUGCUGGAAAAUAAAACACCAAGGUGGCUUUCACCUUUGGAAGCUAGGGCUCGAAAAGACCCAAUAUGGAGGCCAAAUGGCCAAAAUAUUGGGAAAUACUAGAAAAGAUGGAGACAAUUGGAAAUUGCAGAGCUUGGAGAAAAUGAAAGACAAAGUGCGAGAUUGGUUACACUAUGCUCAGAUUAAAGAAGUUUUUAAAAGUGAUAAGAAACUAGGGUUCCAGGUGGAGAAAUCGAAAUUAGAAACAGAAUUGUUAGAACCAAAGACUAAGAUACUUUCAAGGAUGUAUAACUUGCUGUUGGAAUGGAAUACACAAGAUGAAAUGGUUAAAUCGGCUAUGAUAAGGUGGGCACAGGACAUUGGGUACAAUAUUAUGUUUGAGGACUGGGAAAGGCUGUGGAGUAAUGGAUUGAAAUUUACUGCAUGUAAUGCUUUGAAAGAAAAUGUAAUGAAAAUGAUUUAUAGAUGGUAUAUGACCCCAGUCAAACUCGCAAAAAUUUACCACCUGUCUGAUAACAAGUGCUGGAAAUGCAAAGAGUGUGAAGGAACGUUCUUUCACCUCUGGUGGACAUGCCCUAAAGUGAAGGCGUUCUGGGAAAUGAUUUACAAUGAAUUGAAAAAGGUAUUUAAAUAUACUUUCACUAAGAAACCAGAGGCUUUCCUUUGGGUAUUGUCAGCCAAGGGGUGGCAAAGAAGGACCAGACAUUUUAUGUACGCAACAACAGCAGCAAGGAUACUACUUGCAAAACAUUGGAAAACCCAAGAUCUACCCACACUGGAAGAAUGGCAGAUGCAACUGAUAGACUAUAUGCAACUGGCUGAAAUGACUGGCAGAAUCCGUGACCUGGGAGAAGAGAGAAUCGAGGAGGAUUGGAAGAAAUUUAAGAACUACCUACAAAAACAUUGUGAUUUGAUUGAAUGCUGAAUAAGAUGCUGGACUAAAUAACUGAGCACCACUUAACUUAGAAAUUUUUAAGGAAACAAGAAAAAUUGUGAAAGCUUAACUCUUUAUGAGAACUUUAAGAUUAUGAAAUAUCGAAGAGAUUUAAGAAUUUAAAUAAGAUGAUAAAUUGCUGACAAAAUGUUAUAAUGAUGAAGGUGGGAGCGGGAGAUGUGAGGAAGUCCUAAGAAAAUGUGAAAAUAUGUUAAGACGAAUGCUAUAUUGGUUAUUACAUUUGUAGCUUCAUGGCAGGCCAGAACCAAGGGUGCCUACUAGAUGAGUCUCGGCUAGAAAGUUAGCUAGAAAGUCAUGUGUGGAAUUAGUGCCUUCCCCUCGGUUUCUGUGGAAAUGUCAACACUUUCCCUGUCGAGCUCACAGCAAGCUAUGCAGUAAUAAGUAAACAAUUGUUUCAAAUAGG